GAGCAAACAGGAUUAGAUACCUGGUAGUCCACGCUGUAAACGAUGUCGAUUUGGAGUUUGUUGCCUAGAGUGAUGGGCUCCGAAGCUAACGCGAUAAAUCGACCGCCUGGGGAGUACGGCCGCAAGGUUAAAACUCAAAUGAAUUGACGGGGGCCCGCACAAGCGGUGGAGCAUGUGGUUUAAUUCGAUGCAACGCGAAGAACCUUACCUGGUCUUGACAUCCAUAGAAUUCUGCAGAGAUGUGGGAGUGCCUUCGGGAACUAUGAGACAGGUGCUGCAUGGCUGUCGUCAGCUCGUGUUGUGAAAUGUUGGGUUAAGUCCCGCAACGAGCGCAACCCUUAUUCUUUGUUGCCAGCGAUUUGGUCGGGAACUCAAAGGAGACUGCCGUUGAUAAAGCGGAGGAAGGUGGGGACGACGUCAAGUCAUCAUGGCCCUUACGACCAGGGCUACACACGUGCUACAAUGGCGUAUACAAAGGGAAGCGAAGGUGCGAGCUGGAGCGGAUCUCAUAAAGUACGUCUAAGUUCGGAUUGGAGUCUGCAACUCGACUCCAUGAAGUCGGAAUCGCUAGUAAUCGUAGAUCAGAAUGCUACGGUGAAUACGUUCCCGGGCCUUGUACACACCGCCCGUCACACCAUGGGAGUGGGUUGCACCAGAAGUAGAUAGCUUAACCGCGAGGGGGGCGUUUACCACGGUGUGAUUCAUGACUGGGGUGAAGUCGUAACAAGGUAACCA
rnacentral:rRNA from 1 species